CUUUAUGAUACUGUCUUCAUUUUAAANAAGCUAGAAGGUCUUGGACUUUGACUGAAUCUCAAAGUCAGUGACCUUUCUCUCCCUGAAUUCCUGAACCCAGAUCCUCCCAAACCCCAGUCAGUGGACAAGGACUUUGAGAGACAAGCAGUCUACAAAGAAGAUCUCUACAACUCCCUUUGAACCUUGAACUCGAGGACACUUGCUGUGCCAGCCAAGAAACCAGGUUCCUCUACUCUGAACCCCCCAGGGGUUCAGUUACCAGAGCUGAGCUGUCUAACUUUGGGGGGAAAGGGUAUUCAUUAGACAGGGACUCCCUCUCCCUCUUUCCCUCCUGAAUCUCAAUCAUUACCCUUCAUCAGCCCUGUCCCUUUCCUGCUUCCCUUGAUAAACUCAGCUAUUAGGACUCAGAACUGACUCCAGCAUUAUUAGAAGACAGUCUGAUUUGAGGGGGGAGAGAAGUGGUCUCUCUUCCCAGAAGAAGGAGACUUAUCACCUGAAACCUCUUUCAACAAAGGUCCCAGAGAGCCUGGAAGUGGGGAGUUGAAGGCAGCCAUAGUGAGGGGGUCUAGUCAGAGAGGGCUGAGGGGGGAAAGACAAAAUCCAUCCUGUUUGCCUCCUCUGUCUAAACAACAACACCUCCUCUCACUUUGUUCCUGCCUAGAAGAAAGUAGACUCCAUUACCUUUUCACCCUCUCUUCCUUAUUAUAAAUCUCUCCCCUUUUUCUCCCUUUAUUACAAUGGAUUUGACAAAUAUAAGAAUUUUAAAAUUUUGUGGUUGCCAUUUAUAACAAAUUUUGUCACGAGACUGUUAGUAGCUUUAGUAACUUUAUUACAGCAAAAUAGUGAUAGUAAGAGAGGGAAAUGUGGGAAGGAGGUAAAAAAUAUUGUCUAGCUAAAAAUACCCUAAGACCUGGUCUGUAUGCCUCCAGACCACAAAUGCAAAUCCAAAUGCAAAUCUCAGUAGCUCAGGAGAGUAUUUCCAGCCAGGUGUUUCAACAACCAAAGACCAACUCCAAAGAGGCUGAGCCACAAAAGAGCAAUCUCUUACACCAAGGAGCUUUAGGGUUGUGGCAUGAUGAAAGCUGGCCUAUGAAAUGGAUUUCUCUGGUUAGACCUGGAAGCCUGUUAAAUGAAAUGGAUGCUGUAGUGAGCAAUGAGAAGUCCCACUGCAUAAACUUCAUAUCUUCUAACUAAACCUGAAUUAUGAAGACAGCUUUAUUUCAAAUAUUGAAACUUCACAGAGGAGAGAGAAAGGAAGAAGGAACGGAAGAGGAAAUGAGCUUUUUUUUAACCCUUACUUUCUAUCUUAGAAUCAAUACUGUUUGGGUUUGCAAAGCAGAAGAGUGGUAAGGGCUAGGCAAUUGGUAUUAAGUGAUUUGCCCAGGGUCACACAGCUAGGAAGUAACUGAGGCCAAAUUUAAACCAAAGAUAUAGGGUCACGGAGCCUGACUUUCUACCCCUGAGUCACCUACCUGGCCCCUGGGACAAACAUUUAUUAAGCACCUACUAUGUUCCAGGCACUGUGCUAAGUGCAUUACAAAUAUGACUUUAUUUGAUCCUCCCAAGAGCUCUGAGAGAUAGGUUCUGGUAUUAUCUUCCUUUUACAGUGGAGGAAACUGAGGCAGAUGGUGAUUAAGUGGCAUAGGUCAUAUGGCUAAUAAGAGUCUGAGGCAGGAUUUUGUUACAAUUAAAAUUAUCUCCAGAGACUGCUUUGAGGGUAAAAAUAGGUUUAUUGAUUAUAUCAGGUGUAAUGGUUAGGCAACAUCAUAACGGGCAGAGCGAUAUAAUGGGUCUCCAUGGCUCUCUCACAACCAGAGUCAACAGGAACUGGGUCAAGUAGCCUAAUAAAUAGAUUUUUAGGAGCUCA
rnacentral:lncRNA from 1 species